UCUCUCACACACACACACACACACACACACACACACACAAACAGUUGCUAUGAACUCUACAGGGUUGCUAGGGGAGGAGAAACAUGGCAGAUGCACCUGAUCACCACUAACGACCUGUGGAAGAGACAUGGGUUAAACUGAAUUUAGAC